rnacentral:rRNA from 1 species
GUGAAAUUCUUGGAUUGAUUGAAGACUAACUACUGCGAAAGCAUUUGCCAAGGAUGUUUUCAUUAAUCAGUGAACGAAAGUUAGGGGAUCGAAGACGAUCAGAUACCGUCGUAGUCUUAACCAUAAACUAUGCCGACUAGGGAUCGGACGGUG